rnacentral:rRNA from 1 species
AACGUACCCUGGAGUGGGGGAUAACGUAGCGAAAGUUACGCUAAUACCGCAUACGAUCUAAGGAUGAAAGUGGGGGAUCGCAAGACCUCAUGCUCCUGGAGCGGCCGAUAUCUGAUUAGCUAGUUGGUAGGGUAAAAGCCUACCAAGGCAUCGAUCAGUAGCUGGUCUGAGAGGACGACCAGCCACACUGGAACUGAGACACGGUCCAGACUCCUACGGGAGGCAGCAGUGGGGAAUUUUGGACAAUGGGCGCAAGCCUGAUCCAGCAAUGCCGCGUGAGUGAAGAAGGCCUUCGGGUUGUAAAGCUCUUUUGUCAGGGAAGAAACGGAUUUUUCUAAUACAGAGAUCUAAUGACGGUACCUGAAGAAUAAGCACCGGCUAACUACGUGCCAGCAGCCGCGGUAAUACGUAGGGUGCAAGCGUUAAUCGGAAUUACUGGGCGUAAAGCGUGCGCAGGCGGUUUUG